rnacentral:rRNA from 1 species
ACAUGUACGUGUUACUGAGGUGAAAGCUGAGGGACCACAUCUUCGGAUGAGGAGCGUACACAGGUGCUGCAUGGCUGUCGUCAGCUCGUGCGUGAGAUGUUGGGUUAAGUCCCGCAACGAGCGCAACCCCUGCAUUCAGUUGCCAUCGGUGAGGCCGGGCACUCUGGAUGGACUGCCGGCGACAAGCCGGAGGAAGGUGGGGAUGACGGUCAAGUCAUCAUGGCCCUUAUGUCCAGGGCGACACACGUGCUACAAUGGCCGGCACAGCGGGAAGCGAAGGGGCGACUCUGAGCGGAUCCCUUAAAGACCGGUCCCAGUUCGGAUUGCAGUCUGCAACUCGACUGCAUGAAGUUGGAAUCGCUAGUAAUCGUGGAUCAGCCAAGCCGCGGUGAAUACGUUCCCGGGCCUU